ACGGGUGAGUAAUACGUAGGAAUUUACCUAAUGGAGUGGGAUAACCUAGGGAAACUUAGGGUAAUACCGCAUAAGCCUUACGAGGUAAAGCAGGGGACUUUCGGGCCUUGCGCUAUUAGAUGAGCCUACGUCGGAUUAGCUAGUUGGUGGGGUAAAGGCCUACCAAGGCGACGAUCCGUAGCUGGUUUGAGAGGACGACCAGCCACACUGGGACUGAGACACGGCCCAGACUCCUACGGGAGGCAGCAGUGGGGAAUAUUGGACAAUGGGCGCAAGCCUGACCCAGCAAUGCCGCGUGUGUGAAGAAGGCCUGCGGGUUGUAAAGCACUUUCGGUGGGGAGGAGAGGCUCUAGGCUAAUAUCCUAGAGCGGAGACGUUACCCACAGAAGAAGCACCGGCUAACUCUGUGCCAGCAGCCGCGGUAAUACAGAGGGUGCAAGCGUUAAUCGGAAUUACUGGGCGUAAAGGGUGCGUAGGUGGUUUGAUAAGUUAGGUGUGAAAGUCCUGGGCUUAACCUGGGGACUGCGCCUAAUACUGUUAAGCUAGAGUAUUGUAGAGGAAGGUGGAAUUUCCAGUGUAGCGGU
rnacentral:rRNA from 1 species